rnacentral:rRNA from 1 species
AAUGAACGCUAGCGGCAGGCUUAAUACACGCAAGUCGAGGGACAGCACAGGUAGCAAUACUGGGUGGUAACCGGCAAACGGGUGCGGAACACGUACACAACCUUCCUUUAAGUGGGGGAUAGCCCAGAGAAAUUUGGAUUAAUACCCCGUAAUAUAGUUGAAUGGCAUCAUUUGAUUAUUAUAGCUACGGCGCUUAAUGAUGGGUGUGCGGCUGAUUAGAUGGUUGGCGGGGUAACGGCCAACCAAGUCUACGAUCAGUAGCUGAUGUGAGAGCAUGAUCAGCCACACGGGCACUGAGACACGGGCCCGACUCCUACAGGAGGCAGCAGUAAGGAAUAUUGGUCAAUGGACGCAAGUCUGAACCAGCCAUGCCGCGUGAAGGAUUAAGGUCCUCUGGAUUGUAAACUUCUUUUAUUUGGGACGAAAAAGAGCCUUUCUAGGUCAACUGACGGUACCAGAUGAAUAAGCACCGGCUAACUCCGUGCCAGCCGCCGCCGUAAGAC